rnacentral:rRNA from 1 species
GACGUAGGUGGCAAGCGUUGUCCGGAUUUACUGGGCGUAAAGAGCGCGCAGGCGGUCGUUCAAGUCGAGUGUGAAAGCCCCCGGCUCAACUGGGGAGGGUCACUCGAUACUGAUCGACUCGAAGGCAGAAGAGGGAAGCGGAAUUCCCGGUGUAGUGGUGAAAUGCGUAGAUAUCGGGAGGAACACCAGUGGCGAAGGCGGCUUUCUGGUCUGCUCUUGACGCUGAGGCGCGAAAGCUAGGGUAGCAAACGGG